rnacentral:ncRNA from 1 species
GCUCUAGUUGCUGGAGGCAUAGGACGUGGACGCGGCAGGAAUAGAUCCAGGGGGAGGACGCGAAUAAAAAAGGCUAUGAGGAUCAUAAAAAUUGAGGUGGAGGGAGAUUGUAUAACUAAGGGUCCCUAAUACUAAUCUCGACAUGAUGAUCGCUUUUACGCGAGAAAGGGGGACCACCCUCUAAGCCUAAGUAUUCCUCAAUGACCGAUAGCGUACAAGUACCGUGAGGGAAAGGUGAAAAGAACCCCAAUCGGGGAGUGCAAUAGAGAACCUGAGAUCCGAUGCGAACAAUCAGUCGAAGGAGCGGAGCGCGGGCGCACUCACUCUAACGGCAUACCUUUCGCAUGAUGGGUCAGCGAGGAAAUGGGAACAGCGGCUUAAGCCA